UUCGUAGGCAGCAAGCGUUGUUCGGAAUUACUGGGCGUAAAGCGUGUGUAGGCGGUGCUCUAAGUUCGGUGUGAAAUCUCCCGGCUUAACUGGGAGGGUGCGCCGGAAACUGGAGUGCUUGAGCGCGGGAGAGGAAAGCGGAAUUCCUGGUGUAGCGGUGAAAUGCGUAGAUAUCAGGAGGAACACCUGUGGUGUAGACGGCUUUCUGGACCGUAGCUGACGCUGAGACACGAAAGCGUGGGUAGCAAACAGG
rnacentral:rRNA from 1 species